rnacentral:rRNA from 1 species
GCAAGUCGAGGGGUAACAUAUGGUGCUUGCACCCUGAUGACGACCGGCGCACGGGUGCGCAACGCGUAUGGAACCUGCCCUUUACAGGGGAAUAGCCUUUGGAAACGCAGAUUAAUGCCCCAUAUUACCUUCUGUAGCAUUGCAGGACGGUUAAAGGCUUCGGCCGGUAAAGGAUGGCCAUGCGUACCAUUAGUUUGUUGGUAAGGUAACGGCUUACCAAGACUUCGAUGGUUAGGGGGCCUGAGAGGGGGAUC